CACGUACUAUCAGAGUUUGAUCCUGGCUCAGGAUGAACGCUAGCGAUAGGCUUAACACAUGCAAGUCGAGGGGCAGCAUUAUUUUAGCUUGCUAAGAUAGAUGGCGACCGGCGGAUGGGUGCGUAACGCGUAUGCAACAUACCCCUUAUUAGGGAAUAACCCGGAGAAAUUCGGACUAAUGCUCUAUAUUCUUCGUUUUUCACAUGGAGGAUGAAGGAAAGAUUUAUUGCUAAGAGAUAGGCAUGCGUUCCAUUAGUUAGUUGGUGAGGUAACGGCUCACCAAGGCAUCGAUGGAUAGGGGAGCUGAGAGGCUUAUCCCCCACAUUGGGACUGAGACACGGCCCAA
rnacentral:rRNA from 1 species